rnacentral:rRNA from 1 species
UACGUAGGGGGCAAGCGUUGUCCGGAAUCAUUGGGCGUAAAGCGCGCGUAGGCGGCCCUGUAAGUCCGUUGUGAAAGUCAAAGGCUCAACCUUUGAAUGCCGACGGAUACUGCCGGGCUAGAGUACGGAAGAGGCGAGUGGAAUUCCUGGUGUAGCGGUGGAAUGCGCAGAUAUCAGGAGGAACACCUAUAGCGAAGGCAGCUCGCUGGGACGUUACUGACGCUGAGGCGCGAAAGCGUGGGGAGCGAACAGG